rnacentral:rRNA from 1 species
UACAGAGGUGGCAAGCGUUGUUCGGAAUUACUGGGCGUAAAGGGCGCGUAGGCGGUCCUGUAAGUCUUGUGUGAAAUCCCUCGGCUUAACUGAGGAACUGCACAGGAUACUGCGAGACUUGAGUUCGGGAGAGGGAAGCGGAAUUCCGGGUGUAGCGGUGAAAUGCGUAGAUAUCCGGAGGAACACCGGUGGCGAAGGCGGCUUCCUGGACCGACACUGACGCUGAGGCGCGAAAGCUAGGGGAGCAAACGGG